ACACUUCUGUCGCUCAUUCCUUCUCAGCUGCAGAACAACUCGAUCGUGUCUCUCAUACUAUAAGUAUCACUGCUACUCUCAUUCCUCGUCUUCACACAUUUGCGAUCGCACCCUUUCUUUAAUUCUCAUCCUUCAAUCAUCUUCUUUCACUAGUUAGGGUUCUUUUUCCAAUCUCUGUUUCUCUUUCUUAUUUACUGUUUAUUGUUCCGAUUCAUCUUUAUAUUCUGGAAAGCAAGGUCUUGUAUGUUACGCAUUCAUGGAUUAUCUCUCAGUUAUUUUUGUUUGAUUAUUGAUAUGUUCUUCAUCAACAAUUCUGUUGUCUCUGAAUUUUGCAGAACAACACACAAUUUCACUCUCUCGCUCCAUGUCGAUGGUGGAAUCAAUUUUAGAAGAACAUAAUAUUGAUGUAUCAUUUCUGCUUACAUGAAACAUGAGAACCAAAAAAAAAGGUUGCCAUGCUUAAUAAGCUGGAAAAUAGAGGUUCUAACUCUGAGGCAUUAGAGAAAGUAAAAGCGGCCGUUAGUCAUUUACAUACAAGAUACAUUGCAGAUAUGCAAGCCUUGGAUUCCACAGUCUCAGAGAUUAGCCGGCUACGUGAUCAACAGUUGUACCCAAGACUUGUUCAGCUUGUUGAUAGGAGGAUUUGAACUUUGAAAAUGAACCGUAUAAAACUGAUGCCAGUUUAUUCUGGUCACUAAUGCUAUUUGAACUUUGAAAAUAAAUCUUAGACAAUUGUAUCUGUCAUAUUUGUAUUGUUUUAUUUUAGGAAGUGCAUCUUUCUUAAGUAAAAGUGAUAUAACUCAAAUCUGUGUCUUCACAAACUGAUGAACUCAGUCAAAAACUCUGCUGAUAUUGAUGGUUUUGUUGAACUAUAGGAUAGCAUCUUUCUCUAAGUCCUCAGAGUUAGAACCUCUAUUUUUCAGCUUAUUAAGCAUGGCAACCUUUUUCAGUACUCAUAUUUCAUUAUUUCACCGGCCUAUCAAAUAUUUUGCAGUGAAAUUCAGAGAAGACAAACGGAAAUUUGUAACAUAAUUUGAUACAUACGGAAAUCUUCUUGCAGAAACUGUGUGACAACUCAUAAUAUAUAGCUAAUAAUAAAAAAAAUAAAAUUCCCAUACGUUAACUUCAUCAUAAAGUUUCUUUUCCCAUUCUAGCAAAUUUGCGCCCACUUUAAUGAGAUUUUGCACACUUUACUCAGCACAGUUUGCAUCCAAUGUAAUGAAUUUUUUGCACACAUGAAUCAGAUUGUUUGCACUCAUUUUAAUGAGAUUUUGCACACUUUUCUUAGCACACUUUGCACCCAUCUUAAUGAAAUUUUUCACACAUAAAUUAGACAGUUUGCACCCACUUUAAUUAGAUUUUGCACACCUCACUCGGCACAAUUUGCAUCCACUUUAAUAAAAUUUUGUACACAUGAAUCAAAUAGUUUGCACCACUUUAAUGAGAUUUUG